rnacentral:rRNA from 1 species
CGUAGGUGGCAAGCGUUGUCCGGAAUUAUUGGGCGUAAAGCGCGCGCAGGCGGUUCCUUAAGUCUGAUGUGAAAGCCCCCGGCUCAACCGGGGAAGGUCAUUGGAAACUGGGGAACUUGAGUGCAGAAGAGAAGAGCGGAAUUCCACGUGUAGCGGUGAAAUGCGUAGAGAUGUGGAGGAACACCAGUGGCGAAGGCGGCUCUUUGGUCUGUAACUGACGCUGAGGCGCGAAAGCGUGGGGAGCAAACAGGAUUAGAUACCCUGGUAGUCCACGCCGUAAACGAUGAGUGCUAAGUGUUAGAGGGUUUCCGCCCUUUAGUGCUGCAGCUAACGCAUUAAGCACUCCGCCUGGGAGUACGGCCGCAAGGCUG